rnacentral:rRNA from 1 species
AGUGAACGCUGGCGGUAGGCCUAACACAUGCAAGUCGAACGGCGGCACAGUAAGAGCUUGCUCUUACGGGUGGCGAGUGGCGGACGGGUGAGGAAUAUAUCGGAAUCUACUUUUUCGUGGGGGAUAACGUAGGGAAACUUACGAUAAUACCGCAUACGACCUACGGGUGAAAGCAGGGGAUCUUCGGACCUUGCGCGAAUGAAUGAGCCGAUGUCGGAUUAGCUAGUUGGCGGGGUAAAGGCCCACCAAGGCGACGAUCCGUAGCUGGUCUGAGAGGAUGAUCAGCCACACUGGAACUGAGACACGGUCCAGACUCCUACGGGAGGCAGCAGUGGGGAAUAGUAGGCAAUGGGCGCAAGCCUGAUCCAGCCAUACCGCGUGGGUGAAGAAGGCCUUCGGGUUGUAAAGCCCUUUUGUUGGGAAAGAAAAGCAGCAGGUUAAUACCCCGCUGUUCUGACGGUACCCAAAGAAUAAGCACCGGCUAACUUCGUG